CCUACGGGUGGCAGCAGUGAGGAAUAUUGGUCAAUGGGCGCGAGCCUGAACCAGCCAAGUCGCGUGAGGGAGGACGGCCCUACGGGUUGUAAACCUCUUUUGCCGGGGAGCAACGGGCGCCACGUGUGGGGUCACGGAGAGGACCCGGAGAAAAAGCAGCGGCUAACUCCGUGCCAGCAGCCGCGGUACUACGGAGGAUGCGAGCGUUAUCCGGAUUGAUUGGGUUGAAAGGGUGCGUACGCGGAUCGUUAAGUCAGUGGUCAAAUUGAGGGGCUCAACCCCUUCCCGCCAUUGAAACUGGCGUUCUUGAGUGGACGAGAAGUAUGCGGAAUGCGUGGUGUAGCGGUGAAAUGCAUAGAUAUCACGCAGAACCCCGAUUGCGAAGGCAGCAUGCCGGCUUCCGACUGACGCUGACGCACGAACGCGUGGGGAUCGAACAGGAUUAGAUACCCCAGUAGUC
rnacentral:rRNA from 1 species